UACAGAGGGUGCGAGCGUUGUUCGGAAUUACUGGGCGUAAAGCGCGCGCAGGUGGUGUGUUAAGUCCACUCGUGAAAUGCUGGGGCUCAACCCCAUGCGCUGCGGGGGAUACUGGCACGCUGGAGACACGUAGAGGCAAGCGGAAUUCCGGGUGUAGCGGUGGAAUGCGUAGAGAUCCGGAAGAACACCGGAGGCGAAGGCGGCUUGCUGGGCGUGAUCUGACGCUGAGGCGCGAAAGCGUGGGGAGCGAACAGG
rnacentral:rRNA from 2 species